UCUUAUGUACAUGCCUACAUUGUUAAUGCAUUGGAUCCCAUCAGAACUCCGCAGUUAAGCAUGUUUGGGCUAGAGUAGUAUUGUGAUGGGUGACCUCCCUAGAAGUACAAGUGUUUUAUAUACC
rfam:Picea glauca, whole genome shotgun sequence.